rnacentral:lncRNA from 1 species
AUAAAUCAAGAACAACCCCGCUGUUUUGGAAAGAAUUUAUACAAAAAAAUUUUUUUCACUUUGAUGUGAAAACAAAUGAGAUUAACGUUUUCUACAAAACACGACAAAGUAUAAAUAUCAUGAAGAUGAAAAUACAGACACAGAAAAAUCUGAAUUAAUUAAUUAAUUAAUUACUGACUGAUCGAUUCAAACGCAGAUACAUGAAGGUAAAAUGCACAUUAUAAACGCUGCAUAUCUCAGAGGUCCACUCACAUGUGCAAAUGGAAGUGUAAGGCUUCACCGCAGCAAAACCACAUCUUGGGGUGUGUCCUAAUGGAACCCUAGUCCCUAUAUAGUGCACUACUUUAGACCAGAGGCCCUAUAGAGCCCUAUUCCCUAUAUAUAGUGCACUACUUUAGACCAGAGGCCCUAUAGAACCCUAUUCCCUAUAUAGUGCACUAUUUUAGACCAGAGGCCAUAGUGCCAUUUAGGACACACCUCACAUCUUGAAUGUGUUCUGUACUAGGGAACACAGGAUAUAUUUGAACUGAAAUUAAACGAGUCGAAAUAAAAAAAUAAGAAUACACGUAUUGACAUGCUUCUCGUGUCAAUUAUCUGUACCUUUUUAAUAACAUUCUUGUCUUUUAGUUAAAACCCAAACCAGCCAAAACAUUAAAUAGUAGAACAACUAUAAUCUCAUAUCACUUUGUUGUAGGAUCGAACACGUGGGAACCUGGUGUACAAUGCUGUCCAAAACUGUACACAUGAAACAUAAUUUCAGUUCAUAUUCAAAAGAGAAAUCUCAUCAAGUAAUGCCAGGAAUAUAUACAAAUAUAUAUGUUAAUAUAUAUAUACAUGUAUUAGGAAAAUACAUAUACAUGUAUUAGGAAAAUACAUAUACAUGUAUUAGGAAAAUACAUAUAAAUGUAUUCAAUGUAUACAGAAAUAUAUAUAAUGUAUAUAUCAAUGUAUACAGCAAUAUAAAUAAAUGUAUUAGGAAAAUACAUAUCGACGUAUACAGAAAUAUAUAAAUGUAUUAGGAAAAUACAUAUAAAUGUAUUAGGAAAAUACAUAUCGACGUAUACAGAAAUAUAUAAAUGUAUUAGGAAAAUACAUAUAAAUAUAUUAGGAAAAUACAUAUAAAUGUAUUAGGAAAAUACAUAUCAAUGUAUACAGAAAUAUAUAAAUGUAUUAGGAAAAUACAUAUCAAUGUAUUAGGAAAAUACAUUUCAAUGUAUUAGGAAAAUACAUAUCGACCUAUACAGAAAUAUAUAAAUGUAUUAGGAAAAUACAUAUCAAUGUAUACAAUGUAUAAAGAAAUAUAUAUAAAUGUAUAUAUCAAUUUAUACAGAAAUAUAUAAAUGUAUUAGGAAAAUACAUAUCAAUGUAUACAGAAAUAUAUAAAUGUAUUAGGAAAAUACAUAUCAAUGCAUACAGAAAUAUAUUUACAGAUAUCAACUGUGGAUACGGACGAAUAGCCCAACGCGAACCCAGGUGCACUGAACACGGACUAGCCGUGGUCCACACCUUGCUGUGUGUGUGUGAACGGCAUCACUGUGCCGCCAACCUUUCCCUGUCCGUACCACAGCUUAAAUGUCGUGACCCUUCAGAAAACACACGGGACCUGCCCGCAGUUCUGCUACAAAUCAAUUUGGAAACAUUUCAGACUGUGGAGUGACCCUCUGCUUCAGAAGUCAGGUGUGUUAAUCUAGUCCUCUACAGGUGAGUCAGGUGUGUUAAUCUACUCCUCUACAGGUGAGUCAGGUGUGUUAAUCUACUCCUCUACAGGUGAGUCAGGUGUGUUAAUCUACUCCUCUACAGGUGAGUCAGGUGUGUUAAUCUAGUCCUCAAUAGGUGAGUCAGGUGUGUUAAUCUAGUCCUCUAUAGGUGAGUCAGGUGUGUUAAUCUCCUCUAUAGUUGAGUUAGGUGUGUUAAUCUAGUCCUCUAUAGGUGAGUCAGGUGUGUUAAUCUCCUCUCUAGGUGAGUCAGGUAUGUUAAUCUAGUCCUCUACAGGUGAUUCAGGUGUGUUAAUCUCCUCUAUAGGUGAGUCAGGUGUGUUAAUCUCCUCCUCUAUAGGUGAGUCAGGUGUGUUAAUCUAGUCCUCUAUAGGUGAGUCAGGUGUGUUAAUCUAGUCCUCAAUAG